UCCUCGAUAGCUCAGUCGGUAGAGCGUCGGACUGUUAAUCCGCAGGUCCCUGGUUCGAGCCCAGGUCGGGGAGCCA
rnacentral:tRNA from 2 species